AAUAGACACAGUGUAUUAGUCAAGGUUCUUUAGAGUUGCAGAACUUAUGGAAUAAAUCUAGAUAGAUAGGUAGAUGAUAGAUAGAUAGAUAGAUAGAUAGAUAGAUAGAUAGAUAGAUAUGAGAAUUUGUAAGUCAUCGGGAUGACUUACAGGCUGUAGUCCAGCAACGGCCAGUUGUGAAUGGAAAGUCCAAGAAUCCAGUAGCUGCUCAGUCCCAUGAGACUGGGUGUCUCAGCUGGUCUUCAGUACCUGCUGGGAUUCUGAAGAAGUAGGCUCCAAUGCCAGUGGAUGUGCUGACAAGGUGAGGGCAGGCAGGUAAAGAAUGGACCCUUCCAUCUUCCAUUGUGCUUCCAUAGGCUUCCAGCUGAAGGUGUGGCUCAGAUUGAAGGUGUGCCUUCCAGCCUCUAGAUCCAGAUCAAAGGCAUGUGCGUUGUCUUCUUGUCGCAAGAACUGGAUCACAAGUGUGCCCUCCAUGUCUGAGUAAUAGUUCGUUCCAGAUGUAGUCAAGUUGACAACCAAGAAUAGCCGUCACACACAGCUUCCAUUUCCAACAGGAAUGUCUGCUGUUGGUUGAGAACAAAGACAAACCCAACACCCUUAACUUAAAUCCCAAAGAAGAUGUAUUGGCUCUUCUAAGUGAAAAUGCAGAGACCAAUGACCAGGUGUGGUUCAUCCUUAGUUUCGGCUCCAUGCAUUACGACUGUCUUGGUUAUGGUGGGUGUAAAGAAAAAAAUCUCCCUAAACAGAGUCCAUUUCUAAGUCAUUAUAGAUACAGCUACCAGUUUCCUAGAGGCUAUGAUAAGUCUGUCUGUCCUGACAUUCAUCCUGAUUGGAUCACUGGUUCAAUACCAUCCUCAUCCAGGUGAUUAUGACCAGCUUUUAUUUUCCGGCCUGGCCAGCAACCUUGAGAGUGUUGAGGAAACUUACCUAAAAAGACCUGUCUGAAUAACCAAGCCAUUAUGGAAUGUCACCCUCGUAAUGCCUGCUUGUCAUCACCAUUAAAAUAUCAGUCUGCCUUGCUGUGUAAGGCCUCUGAUGAGACAGUUCAUCUAAGCAUCCGUCUGUGUGGUCCCACUGAGGUCUGCAGGAACUUCCUGCAUGGAGAGACUCCAGUUCUUUCCUGUGUACAAGGAUGCUGAAGUUCAAAGACAUUGCAUUAUAGCCCAAGUUCCCACAACUCAAAACACGCGAUGUGAUGGGCCUGAAAAGAGGUACCUGCCUCUAAAGACUGAAAGUGUUCCUGUUGUAGGCCUCGUGGGGUCAAACACAGACCACACAUGGUUCUUGGGCCUCCUCAUGGUAUCCUGUACCUAGCUGAGCAUGGACUUGAACCUUUCUUCAUUUCUCUAUUGGUCAUUCAGAGCGACAGUUUCUGAGGUCAGCUGGACUGGGCACAUAAUACUUCCAACAGCUGCCCUGCCCAUUUCUGGCUUUUAUCCCAUCUUAUUAAUCUGCUUGUCCUAGCAUCCAUGACUACGGUGCACCAAACAAAAAGGCAAGAACGAUUCGUUCUGGGGAGCUAUCACAGGUAUGAAAUGAAUCUAGAAAAUUCGGCUCUCGGCCUGGUGACACUUGAGGAAUCCAGCGAGCACAUGCUGUCGGUCAAGUUUGGAGGUUUGUCAAAAGAUCAGUGGCUCCUUUGCUCCACAUUCUUUGGGCACUUGGCAGCUUUCUCAGUGUAGAGUAUUAAAUUUAACUUUCUGGCCCUGUUAGCAUCCCAGGGUCGUUAAAUAUGCCGAGGCGCUUGGUAAUUCAUCUUCCUCAACAUCGUCACAGCUCAGUAAGCCUGCAUUCAUUACCGUCAUGUGAACGUUUAGCAAACAUAGCUGGCAUGUUCUCAGCCUCCACGGGUCUCCAUUUUCACUAAGCUGCCAUGAAAUAUACCAUGUGAACACAAAUAAACAAUUCAUGCCGAGAUGAUGCAUCCCCCUUUGUCUCAGGAAAGACAGUCAAGGUUCAAGUUGUCUGAUGUGAGAAGAUGCGCUGUGUUUAUGCUGAGUAACUGGGAUUCCCAGCCCUGGUGAUGCCUCCUCCCAUGCGAGACUCACAAGAGCACAACCUGCCUGGUGGUUCCUGAGUAACAGCAACACGGCUUCUCAUUCCCUCAGGAUAUGUGUCUACAGUUUGUGCAGCGCCCUUUCCUGUGUUUAUAGUCUGUGGUUGCUGGUUCAGCAGGUUACUAAGUCACGUGAACAGUCACUUCUGUUGCACCGGAGUUUAUGCUAUGGUUUAUUCUAUAGCUUUGCAGUUUUUCUUGCACUUUUUUCUUUGCUAUUUCUCGGGGUGGUGUGCUCUCUGCUAAUUCUCUCCUUAGCACCAGGAGACCACGGUCUGUUGGACAUCUCCUACAAAGACCAGGAGACAAGGCAAGCCGGCUGUGUCAGCCAUUGGAGGGUGUCCUUAAAUGCAUGAAAAAAUAUAAGCUGUUCCUUGCUUCUGGUUGCCUAGAGCGGAUCUUCUGAGGUAAGAUUUAAAGAUGGAGUCAUAGUUUCCUGGUAUUCUCCACUGUGCAAGUUCGGCGGUCUUCUAUGUGGACAUGGUAAAAGAUGCAUACUGCCCCAAGCCUGUCCCCAGACACACACACAGUUAUAAAGAGGACAAGCACCAAUUACCAACAUCUAUACCUCUCUCUCUCUCUCUCUCUCUCUCUCUCUCUCCCUUCCCCAAGUUUCCUUCUUUAGCCCAGACUGGUCUUGAGUUCACCAUGAUGUAACCUACAAAAGUUUUUUUAUUAGGCUGCCUCCAUUUCUAAAGGGCAUGACCAUGACCACCACAUUUGACUUCAAAUACUUUCCUUUCUUUAUUCUUUGUUUUCUCUUUUUUCUUGGAAAGUUGAGGUAAUAUUGACCCAGAAUGUCAUUCCGAUGUUCUGUCUGGACAGGGUAUGAAGCCUCCGUAUUUCCAGCAUACGCAUCAUUCCCUACUUUCUUUCCAGUUCUGAGAUAUAGAGAAAAAAAUAAAGUAAAAUAAGAAAAUAUACCAAUAUAUUUAGCCAGUCUGAUGUAGCCAUCUUCGUCUUUCCUGGAAGGAAAAAUGAAAAUGGGCAUUCCUGUAGAAAUACAACCGGGGCAUGGGUACAUUUGGAAAUAGUCAAGAGUUUUCCUCUUCAAAUUAUGGAAAGAUAACAGAGUGAGGUUGUACAGUUCAUUUGGAUAUGGGAAGAAGAUAUUGUAGAUAGAAAUCUAUAUCUUGUCUUCCCCCACCCCAACUUUGGUUCAUUUGUGACAGUGCCUUGCUAGGUAGCUGUGGCUGGCCUCGGCUUUGCCUUCCUGCUGCAGCUUCUUCAGGAUUAGAGGUAUACACCACUGUGCCCAGGUAUUCCCAUGUGUGUAACAGGGAAAAUGUCUCUGAGAGAAGAACUUAGAUGAAUUCUCCAUUAUGAAGUUAAAUAAACUAUGAUAAAGAUUGUAGCCAGCGUUGGUCAGGAGUACAAGUCAGCUGCAAGUAAUAGAACAUUCUAAAGAACUGGCCGAGUGAAAAGCAUGGGGAACUCCACACAGCUCCAAUUCUGCCAUGCUAUCGUAUCAUCUAAUUUGGGAUUUCUUUAUGUUCAUGGUUGAGAAACAUCUCGCACAUGUUUUAGGCUGAAGAAAAAGGACAAAAGGGGGCUGGGGACCUCUGUCAUGUCGUCCUAACCAGGACACACUCAUAGUUUUACCAGUGUGCAGAAAACUGGACACAAGAAUGGCAUAUGAAUGAGAUUCCAUGUUAUCUCCAUGAGCGGUGUAUGGAAAGCUAUGUUCGAAAGAGGUAAGGAUAGGAAGGCCAACAGAAACUUUCAGGAGUGUAUGUGAACACUCCAGGCCAUUCAUUUGCAUGCACGUGUGGCAUGCAGAGAUGUCACUCUUGGACCAUGGUGGUCACUUGAAUCAUCCCAGGCAGAAGCUUCAUGUGUGGAAGGAAUCACUUUGGUGAUUAUCAGAACCCAAGGAAACACACAACAUCCACGUCAAAGUCAGGCCAUGUUUUCCUCUAGCAGAUUGCAUGGAGGACUGUUGAAUAAAUAAUAUGACUUUAUAUCUUUGUAAGAAAUUGCCCUAAGGAAAUUUUAACUAGGUUCAUAAGUAACUUAAGUCCUGUAUUUAUAGAAUUAUCAAGAGUACUCGGAUGUUUUUGAUCACACUUGGUUAGGUAGCAUGGAGGACUCUCACUUUAUAAUAAUGUUGGCAGCAUUGUAACUUCAUCAAGGCUUCAAAAUACAUCUCUGGUGAAUUCUGGGGUCUCCUCUGUAUAAGCCACUAGCUGUAUGGUUGUAGAUCAAAGUGCUAUCCUUAGGGAAUCAGGGCAGAGAUUAAUGUGGAUACUACUGAUUAGAAAAACUCACUACUUGCAUCUGGAGCUAAUGGACACACAAGAAGAUAUGUUUAAAGGUCGGAUUACAUUUCCAAAAGAACAGCACCAACUCAUUUCGGAUCUCUGUCAACUUCUCCUAUCUGGUACACUUUUGGUAAAACACCAAAACAAACCCACAAUGCCACUAGGCUAGCCAAAACAGGUCUCACAGAGUCAAUUUACUGAAGAAUAAAUAUUUUAUUCCUAGGGAGACCUCACUCUGAGACUAUUUGUUCUGGCUUUGCUUAAAAUGUUGCUAAGAGUGUCUAUCUGGUGUCUCCAUCCAAAAUUGAGUAGGAAUGAAUGACAAACUCAAGACAAAAAAGCAUAAAAGUUGGCCUGCGGAUGGCAGCAAGAAAUUACAGGAACAGAAUGAACCCAAAGAAGAAAAAGAGAAUCUUCUAGAACCUAAGGCCAAGAACCACAAAGGUGCCACUCUGCAGUGCCGUUGAUUAGGGACACUGAUCACACACACUUCAGAAAGCCCUGGUUGCUACAGAGGCUACCAUCUUUAACACUCAAAGGUUCAACAACAACAAAGGGUUGCAUUAGGGCUGGCAAGAUGGCUUACUUGAAUUCAGUUCCUGAACCCACUUGGUGAAAGAGGAAUGGCUUCCAAAAGCUGUCCUCUGGCCUCUACACGUGAGCCAAGUACACACAGACUUCCUCCCCAAUCUAUUUUAAAAGGAAGAUUAACUUGAAUUGAAGAUCAGUGUGCAGGAAAUCUGAGAAAUAUGCCCUCUGUUCCAAGAAAGAUCUUCACUUAAAUGAGUAACAUUUCUCUUAAACGGAAUAAGCCUCAAUUAUCUGGAAAAUCCUCAAAGAGAGCUCAGUUCCCAGGAAAAUCGGGAAAGAUGUUGCUGCAUCCCCGUAACUGAGGUUCUGUAAAUACGUUCAAUUUGUACAAACAUGAGAAAACAAUCAGUGUUCAGAGAGAUAGUCAUCCCUUUUCAAUUAUAACCCAUUUCAGCCAAACUGUAAAUAUGGCCAUACUUGAACGCACGUUGAAAUAAACAUGUUCAAGCAUAUUUAUUGACCUGGAUCAACUCCUUAAGUUCAUUUGAUUCCAGUGUGAAUUGCUUCCAAAGUGCUCGCACCCCCCCCCUUCCUUUCACAUAUAGAUAGCAGAGGCUGGGCUGGACAUUACCAGACAGAAAACAGAUCAAUCAAAAUAGAUCACUCACUCACCACAAGCAUGUGCAGCCCUCGAACCGGUUUUAAUCAGUGUGGUCCAAGUGAGCCACGGAAUGGCAACGCUUCGCUUCCAGUAAAUGCACUUUAAGUAUUUCCCAUUAGAGGAGUAUCAAGUAACAAGCUCGGAAUCAGGCCUUUUCCAAAUGAGUUUUCUGUUCAAUAACCCUAAUGCUUAAGAGGCCAUGCAUUAUAUGGUGCUUGGUAGCCCAGCAGGAGAUGAUACGGAGCUACUUGGCAAUCUGUCCUUCUCAUGUGCCAUUGACAGCAAGGACACUUUCUCCCCCAACUCAGGUGGAAGAAGAGCCUGGCUUUGCUGAGUGGCUCAUCAGGAGUUCCUGGUUAGGCUGGGUGUCGCUGUCUGCCCCGGGCACAGCAAAGGAGACCCUCGCGUCCAGUGCACUGGAUGGAGGUGGUAUAGGAAAAAGAGGACGCAAGCCUCUGCCUGUGGCUAUGAGUUCCUGGCAAUUCCCAGCAUCUGCAGAAGGACCAGGGUUUGGGGAAAGUAAAAGAUUAAAGAAGGUCUCUGUGGCUGAAGACAAAGGAAACUAUUAACCCUGAUUCAUCACCCUCUUCAUAAUGACUAUAUUACCUGCCUCUUUUUACAGCACUUCAUAUGAAUGAAACCCUCUGCCAAGAAUAUUACAUGCAUAGAUGCUCUCAUGUAAUCCCACAAGGUAGCUAAUUUUUUUUUUGUCUUAGGGAAAUGGAAGAAUAAAGAGGCUUGCCCAAAUGGUAAAAUUAAGAUUUGAACUCCAAACACAUUGCUCUUUCUGACCUGUACCCUCUGUAUUAGGAUGUCCGGUCCUCUGUUGUCCUCUAAGUCUCCUUUUUUGCCAUGCCCAAAUGCAGGGGCUGUAACAUCCAUAGGGAUUGGAUAAAUAGCUGAACUGUAGGGAAAGGAUGCUCCUGGGUGCAUCUGUUCUUAUGCAGUAGAUUAGGCACUGAGAUCUAGCUAUCAUCGGCCCGAGGUAAGUUUACACAACACUUUGUGGUUUCCUAUUAACCCCCUGCCAAUCAUCCCCAACAUGUCCCCCAUGACCCUUUUUAUUCCCCCCAUAAAGUAGAUUCAUUUUUUUUCUACUGAAAUCAUUCAUCAUCACCUUCCUUUGGAUCCUAGGUCCUAGAUCUUUAUUCAUUAACAACAUCAUCCUUUUAAUUCUUUGUCCCAUGGAAAUGGGCCCAAAAGCUGAGGAUGGC